UUGGAGGGCAAGUCUGGUGCCAGCAGCCGCGGUAAUUCCAGCUCCAAUAGCGUAUAUUAAAGUUGCUGCAGUUAAAAGCUCGUAGUUGAAUUUCGGGACCAUCAUGUCGGUCGUGCCUCGGUACGUACUGGCAUUGUUGGUUUCUCCCUUCUGACGAACCAUGAUGUCAUUUAUUUGGUGUUGUGGGAAAUCAGGACUGUUACUUUGAAAAAUUGAGUGUUUAAAGCAGGCUCACGCUUGAAUACAUUAGCAUGGAAUAAUGAAAUAGGACGUUUGAUUCUAUUUUGUUGGUUUCUAGGAUCGACGUAAUGAUUAAUAGGGAUAGUUGGGGGCAUUAGUAUUCAAUUGUCAGAGGUGAAAUUCUUGGAUUUAUUGAAGACUAACUACUGCGAAAGCAUUUGCCAAGGAUGUUUUCAUUAAUCAAGAACGAAAGUUAGGGGAUCGAAGACGAUCAGAUACCGUCGUAGUCUUAACCAUAAACUAUGCCGACUAGGGAUCGGAUGAUGUAAUUUUUAAUGACCCAUUCGGC
rnacentral:rRNA from 1 species